rnacentral:rRNA from 1 species
UGAGAACGCAGCGAAAUGCGAUACCUAGUGUGAAUUGCAGAAUUCCGCGAAUCAUCGAGUUUUUGAACGCAAGUUGCGCCCGAGGCUCGUACCGAGGGCAUGUCUGUCUGAGCGUCCA